rnacentral:rRNA from 1 species
UACAGAGGUCCCAAGCGUUGUUCGGAUUCACUGGGCGUAAAGGGUGCGUAGGUGGUCGGGUAAGUCUGAUGUGAAAUCUCGCAGCUCAACUGCGAAACUGCAUUGGAUACUAUCCGGCUAGAGGAGUUGAGGGGGGACUGGAAUGCUCGGUGUAGCAGUGAAAUGCGUAGAUAUCGAGCGGAACACCAGUGGCGAAGGCGAGUCCCUGGAAACUUCCUGACACUGAGGCACGAAAGCUAGGGGAGCAAACAGG